rnacentral:rRNA from 1 species
GACGAACGCUGGCGGCGUGCUUAACACAUGCAAGUCGAACGGAAAGGCCCUGCUUUUGUGGGGUGCUCGAGUGGCGAACGGGUGAGUAACACGUGAGUAACCUGCCCUUGACUUUUGGAUAACUUCAGGAAACUGGGGCUAAUACCGGAUAGGAGCUCCUGCUGCAUGGUGGGGGUUGGAAAGUUUCGGCGGUUGGGGAUGUACUCGCGGCUUAUCAGCUUGUUGGUGGGGUAGUGGCUUACCAAGGCUUUGACGGGUAGCCGGCCUGAGAGGGUUACCGGCCACAUUGGGACUGAGAUACGGCCCAGACUCCUACGGGAGGCAGCAGUGGGGAAUAUUGCACAAUGGGCGGAAGCCUGAUGCAGCAAAGCCGCGUGCGGGAUGACGGCCUUCGGGUUGUAAACCGCUUUCGCCUGUGACGAAGCGUGAGUGACGGUAAUGGGUAAAGAAGCACCGGCUAACUACGUG